rnacentral:lncRNA from 1 species
CGCGUGCGGCCCAGCUCCUCCCUCACGGUGGCCUGUUGAUGCCCAACUCAUGCCUCUGGCACCCUGCCCAGAGGCGUGAGCCCCUGCCUCACACUGGCUCCUCCCACGCUGAGAGAGGUCAGUGUGAGCCCUUGCCUCACACCGGCCCCUCCCACGCGGACAGAGGUCAGCGUGAGCCCCUUGCCUCACCCCGGCCCCUCCCACGCUGAGAGAGGUCAGUGUGAGCCCUUGCCUCACACCGGCCCCUCCCACGCGGACAGAGGUCAGCGUGAGCCCCUUGCCUCACACCGGCCCCUCCCACGCUGAGAGAGGUCAGUGUGAGCCCUUGCCUCACACCGGCCCCUCCCACGCGGACAGAGGUCAGCGUGACCCCCUGCCUCAACAGGCCACCGUGAGGGAGGAACAGGAUCGCACUCGGGCUGCUGGGAGGUAGGCAGGGACUUGGGCCU